rnacentral:rRNA from 1 species
UGAGGAAUAUUGGUCAAUGGGCGAGAGCCUGAACCAGCCAAGUCGCGUGAGGGAAGACGGUCCUAUGGAUUGUAAACCUCUUUUGUCGGGGAGCAAAUGCAGCUACGAGUAGCUGAGAGGAGAGUACCCGAAGAAAAGCAUCGGCUAACUCCGUGCCAGCAGCCGCGGUAAUACGGAGGAUGCGAGCGUUAUCCGGAUUUAUUGGGUUUAAAGGGUGCGUAGGCGGCCCCUUUAAGUCAGCGGUGAAAGUCUGUGGCUCAACCAUAGAAUUGCCGUUGAAACUGGGGGGUCUUGAGUGAGCGAGAAGUAUGCGGAAUGCGUGGUGUAGCGGUGAAAUGCAUAGAUAUCACGCAGAACUCCGAUUGCGAAGGCAGCAUACCGGCGCUCAACCGACGCUGAGGCACGAAAGCGUGGGGAUCGAACAGGAUUAGAUACC